AAUAUUAUUAUAAAAAAGAACAAAAUGAUGUUUAGUUAUUAUGGGAUGGGUUAUUAUUGUGAGAUAGGUUUAGAUGAGACAUGUUUUUAAGACGGGAUGGAUUUAGAUGAGACAGUUUUUUUU
rnacentral:sRNA from 1 species